GACGAACGCUGGCGGCGUGCUUAACACAUGCAAGUCGAGCGGUAAGGCCUCUUCGGGGGUACACGAGCGGCGAACGGGUGAGUAACACGUGGGUGACCUGCCCUCAGCUCUGGGAUAAGCCUGGGAAACUGGGUCUAAUACCGGAUAUGACCUUUCCUCGCAUGGGGUUUGGUGGAAAGUUUUUUCGGCUGGGGAUGGGCCGCCGGCCUAUCAGCUUGUUGGUGAGGUGAUGGCCUACCAAGGCGACCACGGGUAGCCGGCCUGAGAGGGCGACCGGCCACGCUGGGAAUGAGACACGGCCCAGACUCCUACGAGAGAGAGCAGAGAGGAAUAUUGCGCAAUGGGCGGAAGCCUGACGCAGCGACGCCGCGUGGGGGAUGACGGCCUUCGGGUUGUAAACCUCUUUCGACCCCGACGGAUUUGGACGGUAGGGGUAGAAGAAGCACCGGCCAACUACGUG
rnacentral:rRNA from 1 species